GUCAAUCAGCUGCAUGUCCCUGCUCCUCUGGCUGCUGUUGUCCCUGUGGUUGGCGUACUUGUCAGAUCACGACAAAUUUUGCACUACAGGCCAGUUGACAGCGUGCAAUAACCCGGCCGAUUCAUUCAUCUUUACACUACCUCACACUCGACUCAACGGUCAGGUUUUUUUUGUUCUCCCGCGAUCAGCCCUGAUCAGCGCGAGAUGGCGAGCCACCCGACCACCGCUACGUUGCGGUAGGAAUUGUGAACCUAUGGACUGAAUCACAAAUUGUUAACACAUGACCUAUCACAGGUCCAUGGAACUAAACUAAAUCACAUACUGGACUACACCUCAUCCCACCUCCUUUUGGAACCUACUAAGCUGUUUUGUAUUGUCAAC
ensembl:lncRNA